rnacentral:rRNA from 1 species
AACCGGCGAUGUCCGAAUGGGGAAACCCAGUGCAAUUCGUUGCACUAUCGUUAACUGAAUACAUAGGUUAACGAGGCGAACCGGGGGAACUGAAACAUCUAAGUACCCCGAGGAAAAGAAAUCAACCGAGAUUCCCCCAGUAGCGGCGAGCGAACGGGGAGCAGCCCAGAGUCUGAAUCAGCUUGUGUGUUAGUGGAACGGUCUGGAAAGUCCGACGGUACAGGGUGAUAGUCCCGUACACCAAAAUGCACAGGCUGUGAACUCGAAGAGUAGGGCGGGACACGUGGUAUCCUGUCUGAAUAUGGGGGGACCAUCCUCCAAGGCUAAAUACUCCUGACUGACCGAUAGUGAACCAGUACCGUGAGGGAAAGGCGAAAAGAACCCCGGCGAGGGGAGUGAAAAAGAACCUGAAACCGUGUACGUACAAGCAGUGGGAGCACCUUCGGGUGUGACUGCGUACCUUUUGUAUAAUGGGUCAGCGACUUAUAUUCUGUAGCAAGGUUAACCGUAUAGGGGAGCCGCAGGGAAACCGAGUCUUAACUGGGCGUUAAGUUGCAGGGUAUAGACCCGAAACCCGGUGAUCUAGCCAUGGGCAGGUUGAAGGUUGGGUAACACUAACUGGAGGACCGAACCGACUAAUGUUGAAAAAUUAGCGGAUGACUUGUGGCUGGGGGUGAAAGGCCAAUCAAACCGGGAGAUAGCUGGUUCUCCCCGAAAGCUAUUUAGGUAGCGCCUCGUGAAUUCAUCUUCGGGGGUAGAGCACUGUUUCGGCUAGGGGGUCAUCCCGACUUACCAACCCGAUGCAAACUACGAAUACCGAAGAAUGUUAUCACGGGAGACACACGGCGGGUGCUAACGUCCGUCGUGAAGAGGGAAACAACCCAGACCGCCAGCUAAGGUCCCAAAGUCAUGGUUAAGUGGGAAACGAUGUGGGAAGGCACAGACAGCCAGGAUGUUGGCUUAGAAGCAGCCAUCAUUUAAAGAAAGCGUAAUAGCUCACUGGUCGAGUCGGCCUGCGCGGAAGAUGUAACGGGGCUAAACCAUGCACCGAAGCUGCGGCAGCGACACUAUGUGUUGUUGGGUAGGGGAGCGUUCUGUAAGCCUGCGAAGGUGACCUGUGAGGGUUGCUGGAGGUAUCAGAAGUGCGAAUGCUGACAUAAGUAACGAUAAAGCGGGUGAAAAGCCCGCUCGCCGGAAGACCAAGGGUUCCUGUCCAACGUUAAUCGGGGCAGGGUGAGUCGACCCCUAAGGCGAGGCCGAAAGGCGUAGUCGAUGGGAAACAGGUUAAUAUUCCUGUACUUGGUGUUACUGCGAAGGGGGGACGGAGAAGGCUAUGUUAGCCGGGCGACGGUUGUCCCGGUUUAAGCAUGUAGGCUGGUUAUCCAGGCAAAUCCGGAUAAUCAAGGCUGAGGUGUGAUGACGAGGCACUACGGUGCUGAAGUAACAAAUGCCCUGCUUCCAGGAAAAGCCUCUAAGCAUCAGGUAACAUCAAAUCGUACCCCAAACCGACACAGGUGGUCAGGUAGAGAAUACCAAGGCGCUUGAGAGAACUCGGGUGAAGGAACUAGGCAAAAUGGUGCCGUAACUUCGGGAGAAGGCACGCUGGUGUGUAGGUGAAGUCCCUGCGGAUGGAGCUGAGACCAGUCGAAGAUACCAGCUGGCUGCAACUGUUUAUUAAAAACACAGCACUGUGCAAACACGAAAGUGGACGUAUACGGUGUGACGCCUGCCCGGUGCCGGAAGGUUAAUUGAUGGGGUUAUCCGUAAGGAGAAGCUCUUGAUCGAAGCCCCGGUAAACGGCGGCCGUAACUAUAACGGUCCUAAGGUAGCGAAAUUCCUUGUCGGGUAAGUUCCGACCUGCACGAAUGGCGUAAUGAUGGCCAGGCUGUCUCCACCCGAGACUCAGUGAAAUUGAACUCGCUGUGAAGAUGCAGUGUACCCGCGGCAAGACGGAAAGACCCCGUGAACCUUUACUAUAGCUUGACACUGAACAUUGAGCCUUGAUGUGUAGGAUAGGUGGGAGGCUUUGAAGCGUGGACGCCAGUCUGCGUGGAGCCAACCUUGAAAUACCACCCUUUAAUGUUUGAUGUUCUAACGUUGGCCCCUGACCGGGGUUGCGGACAGUGUCUGGUGGGUAGUUUGACUGGGGCGGUCUCCUCCCAAAGCGUAACGGAGGAGCACGAAGGUUAGCUAAUCCUGGUCGGACAUCAGGAGGUUAGUGCAAUGGCAUAAGCUAGCUUGACUGCGAGCGUGACGGCGCGAGCAGGUGCGAAAGCAGGUCAUAGUGAUCCGGUGGUUCUGAAUGGAAGGGCCAUCGCUCAACGGAUAAAAGGUACUCCGGGGAUAACAGGCUGAUACCGCCCAAGAGUUCAUAUCGACGGCGGUGUUUGGCACCUCGAUGUCGGCUCAUCACAUCCUGGGGCUGAAGUAGGUCCCAAGGGUAUGGCUGUUCGCCAUUUAAAGUGGUACGCGAGCUGGGUUUAGAACGUCGUGAGACAGUUCGGUCCCUAUCUGCCGUGGGCGCUGGAGAAUUGAGGGGGGCUGCUCCUAGUACGAGAGGACCGGAGUGGACGCAUCACUGGUGUUCGGGUUGUCAUGCCAAUGGCACUGCCCGGUAGCUAAAUGCGGAAGAGAUAAGUGCUGAAAGCAUCUAAGCACGAAACUUGCCCCGAGAUGAGUUCUCCCUGAGACUUUAAGUCUCCUGAAGGAACGUUAAAGACGAUGACGUUGAUAGGCCGGGUGUGUAAGCGCAGCGAUGCGUUGAGCUAACCGGUACUAAUGAACCGUGAGGCUUAACCUU